GUCAAGCUCUUGAACAAGCUCAAUAGUGCACAAAUCAAUUCGGCAAUGGGAGACAUGUGAUUCAAAUGAUACUUGCUUCACUCUGCAAAAGGGUAUUCUAGUGAUAAUGGUGCAACCACGUUAUGCCCAAGCUACAAUUUGGUCACCUCCAAGGCAUGGCACUAUCAAAUUAUAAUGUGAUGGAUUCUUCUCAAAUAGCACACAACUUGCAGGAAUUGAAGAGAUUCUAUAGUCUUCACAGUGAAACAGGAGAAACUCUUUGCUUCGGGUGGAACCACCAUGGUGCAAAACAAGGUCCGCAGUACCGAAACCGGCACCCAUGCUGGAAGGCUGGCGGUACGAUACAAUACGCUCCCGUGACAUGCCACUCUGGUAUGAACUAAUAGGGAAACCAACAAGGGAGGGGGAGAGGAAGAAGGAGAGAGGAAAAG
rnacentral:lncRNA from 1 species